UUUUCCUACGGGACGCAGCAGUGGGGAAUAUUGGGCAAUGGGCGCAAGCCUGACCCGGCAACGCCGCGUGAAGGAAGAAGGCUUUCGGGUUGUAAACUUCUUUUAUGAGGGACGAAAGAAAUGACGGUACCUCAUGAAUAAGCCACGGCUAACUACGUGCCAGCAGCCGCGGUAAUACGUAGGUGGCAAGCGUUAUCCGGAUUUACUGGGUGUAAAGGGCGUGUAGGCGGGACUGCAAGUCAGAUGUGAAAAUUAUGGGCUCAACCCAUAACCUGCAUUUGAAACUUUAGUUCUUGGGUGAUGGG
rnacentral:rRNA from 1 species